rnacentral:lncRNA from 1 species
UGUACAUCGAUGCGUGAAGGAACUAUGGCAAGAGCUUCCAGAAUUGCCCGGUUCGCUGGUACCUCAUAUCAGCACGCCAUGACAAUCUGGUUCCCUAUAGAGUUGCCUUGACCUUUGUCAAGAUACAAGGAAAAGAUUUUUCAGCCGUGUUCUUCAUCCCUGUCUACUUUGGUCAAAUGACACUCUCUGCUUUUCCAGGCAAGCUGCUGACAGGCAGCCAGCUGGUCUAUAGCAGUGUCCAAGCGGAAAUUUGGAGAAAAUCUUGUGAAAGUGGAAGUGCUGGGUUUGGAAGCCCUUUCCUCCUUGGGAGAUUCAAGACCUCUGUGUCUCCUAUUCAAGCAAGUUAGCCACCAUCUAUUCAAGAAACAGCAAACACUGUGAGAGCCAGCUAACCACCGUAAUGGGAGGACAAAGCACCGUACCUGUCACAUUGAGACAUUACGAAGGCGAGUACCACAUACUGUGUUAAAGAUGUGAAACACCCAGCAGUCUGCAAGCAUCAAGCUCUUGCUUCUGCCCAAACUAACACAAGUUUAACUUUACCCAUGCCACUUGUUCUGUCAGUCUCCGAUGCUCCUGCAAAUUACUCCAUAUAUCCCACAUCUAUUACUUUAAGGGACCGAAACUGAAGAAUUCCUACGGCUUCCAGCAUGCUUGUGAGCUAAUCCAGAGCCCCGGCGCCGCCGCCGCGCCGCUCGCCGCCUAACCCGGCCCGCAGCGUCUGGCGUGAUUUGUUUGCUUUUCCCCGGCACUGUUUGUUUCAGCUAUGUGCUCUUAAGCAAAGAGGAUGAGCAUGUUAAAAAAAUAUUUAAAUUUUCCUCUCUUGCUGUCACUUCAGUUCAAGAGUGUUUUCUUUUCAAAGCAAAUUGGGCUAGUUUACUAACCCAUACUUAAGAAAAGAUUUGCAAAGCCAUGUCAUGCAGUAAUCUUAAUGCCAAGAAGCGUUUCCACAGUUUUAUAGGUCAUAUGAGGGCCUACAAAGUAAAACAAGCAACUUUCCGAAUUAAAAAUUAUAUACGGCCUCAGAUUGUCUUGAAGUGCUCCUGAAUGGAACCUACUUUAGCAUGGCAUACUUGCUUUUCAUUUCUGUUUGAAUAGAAAUUGGGCUAAAAUCCUGUGUCUAAUAUCUGCAUCCAUCUCAUUUCAAAAUAAUUUCCAGGCCAGAUUUGACAAAGAUAGAGGGUAUCUCCAACUAGGAGAUCCUGCCAACAUGUCUCCCCUCCCCCCCACAACUUGGGGAGGAAAACAUUGCUGUUCCCUCUCAUAAGAGUUUGAAAACUGAAGACCAGCUGGGAAUAUGGAGAUUUAAACAUAUUCAGGACAAAAACAACUCCUAAUCAACACCAA